UACAGAGGUGGCAAGCGUUGUUCGGAAUUACUGGGCGUAAAGGGCGCGUAGGCGGCCAUCUAAGUCAGACGUGAAAUCCCCCGGCUCAACCUGGGAACUGCGUCUGAUACUGGGAGGCUAGGUAGGUUGGGAGAGGGAUGGUAGAAUUCCAGGUGUAGCGGUGAAAUGCGUAGAUAUCUGGAGGAACACCAAUGGCGAAGGCAGCUCACUGGGACGGUAUUGACGCUGAGACGCGAAAGCGUGGGGAGCAAACAGGG
rnacentral:rRNA from 1 species